rnacentral:rRNA from 1 species
CCUACGGGAGGCAGCAGUGAGGAAUAUUGGUCAAUGGACGAGAGUCUGAACCAGCCAAGUAGCGUGAAGGAUGACUGCCCUAUGGGUUGUAAACUUCUUUUAUAAAGGAAUAAAACGAGGCACGUGUGCCUUUUUGCAUGUACUUUAUGAAUAAGGAUCGGCUAACUCCGUGCCAGCAGCCGCGGUAAUACGGAGGAUCCGAGCGUUAUCCGGAUUUAUUGGGUUUAAAGGGAGCGUAGAUGGGUUGUUAAGUCAGUUGUGAAAGUUUGCGGCUCAACCGUAAAAUUGCAAUUGAUACUGGCAGUCUAGAGUACAGUUGAGGUAGGCGGAAUUCGUGGUGUAGCGGUGAAAUGCUUAGAUAUCACGAAGAACCCCGAUUGCGAAGGCAGCUUACUAAACUGUGACUGACAUUGAUGCUCGAAAGUGUGGGUAUCAAACAGGAUUAGAUACCCGUGUAGUC